CCCAAGCCUGAGGAAGACGAGCCCACGGACAUCCAACAAAGGCAGAGAGAAUGUGGCUGCCCCACUGCUUCUUUCAGCUGCUUUUCUUCAGCCCCUGGUCCUUUCUGGCCCUGAGGGAAGAUCUUCCACAUGCAGUUUUCAUCUGAGAGGUGGCUAUUGAGAUAUAAGCAGAAGUCUUUGCUUUGGACUUCCAAAGAAGCUCUUUCAACGAGGCAGAGUCAGCUGAGAGGCAAACAUGCUGUCACCCUUCCUCUCUUUCUCCUUCCUGCUGCCUGGAACAUGGCCAUGAGGACUGGGGCUCCAGCAGCCUUCUUGCAACUAUGAAGUAACUCUGAGAAUGGAAGGUAUAUGGUAAGGAAGUUGAAACAGAGACAUAGAAAGAGUCUGGGUCCCUGCUGACUCUGGACCACCCUUUCAGCCCCAAAUUUCCUUCCCUGGCUUCGUCUCAUGUAAACAGAGGGCAAACAAAAUCCCUUGUUAUUUAAGCCUGCUGUUUGGGCUUUCUGUAAUGUGCAACUGAACCUAAUCCUAAGUGAUACAGCUGGCUGUUUAAACCCUGCCCCAUCACCAUGACUAGAAAAACAAACUUCUAAACUCAAGAGGCAUAAUUAUGUCAUCUUUGUACAAAAAGGGCAGGACAUUAAAAAAUAUAACAAAAA